UGCAGUCGAACGAACUUAACCAUUAGUUUACUAUUGGAGCGGUUAGUGGCGGACUGGUGAGUAACACGUAAGCAACCUGCCUAUCAGAGGGGAACAACAGUUAGAAAUGACUGCUAAUACCGCAUAUGCCUUAGAAUCACAUGGUUCAAAAGGGAAAGGAGCAAUCCGCUGAUAGAUGGGCUUGCGUCUGAUUAGCUAGUUGGUGGGGUAAUGGCCUACCAAGGCGACGAUCAGUAGCCGAACUGAGAGGUUGAACGGCCACAUUGGGACUGAGAUACGGCCCAGACUCCUACGGGAGGCAGCAGUCGGGGAUAUUGCGCAAUGGAGGAAACUCUGACGCAGUGACGCCGCGUGCAGGAAGAAGGUUUUCGGAUUGUAAACUGCUUUAGACAGGGAAGAACAAAGACAGUACCUGUAGAAUAAGCUCCGGCUAACUACGUGCCAGCAGCCGCGGUAAUACGUAGGGAGCGAGCGUUAUCCGGAUUUAUUGGGUGUAAAGGGUGCGUAGACGGGAAGUCAAGUUAGUUGUGAAAUCCCUCGGCUUAACUGAGGAACUGCAACUAAAACUGAUUUUCUUGAGUACUGGAGAGGAAAGUGGAAUUCCUAGUGUAGCGGUGAAAUGCGUAGAUAUUAGGAGGAACACCGGUGGCGAAGGCGACUUUCUGGACAGAAACUGACGUUGAGGCACGAAAGUGUGGGGAGCAAACAGGAUUAGAUACCCUGGUAGUCCACACCGUAAACGAUGGAUACUAGGUGUAGGGGAUAUUAAAUUCUCUGUGCCGCCGCUAACGCAAUAAGUAUCCCACCUGGGGAGUACGGCCGCAAGGUUGAA
rnacentral:rRNA from 1 species